rnacentral:rRNA from 1 species
ACUCCUACGGGAGGCAGCAGUGGGGAAUAUUGCACAAUGGGCGCAAGCCUGAUGCAGCAACGCCGUGUGAGUGAAGUAAGGUUUUCGGAUCGUAAAACUCUGUCCGUAAGGGAAGAAACAAAUGACGGUACCUUAGGAGGAACGCCCCGGCUAACUACGUGCCAGCAGCCGCGGUAAUACGGUAGGGGCAAGCGUUAUCCGGAAUCACUGGGCGUAAAGGGUGCGUAGGCGGCUUAGCAAGCCAGGGGUGAAAGGCAUUGGCUCAACCAAUGUAAGCCUUUGGAACUGUUAAGCUUGAGUGCAGGAGAGGUAAGUGGAAUU